rnacentral:rRNA from 1 species
GACGAACCGUGCGAACGUUAUUCGGAAUCACUGGGCUUAAAGCGCGUGUAGGCGGGCCGCCGCGUCGGCUGCUGAAAUCCCCCGGCUCAACCGGGGAAGGGGCACCGAAACGGGCGGCCUGGAGGGGAGUAGGGGGACCUGGAACUUCCGGUGGAGCGGUGAAAUGCGUUGAGAUCGGAAGGAACGCCCGUGGCGAAAGCGAGGUCCUGGGCUCCUGCUGACGCUGAGACGCGAAAGCCAGGGGAGCGAACGGG